GAGAAGGAAAAGUUAGCAAAUGAACUGAAAGAGAUGAAUAGGAGUAUUGAGCAGGUGAAGGAAGAAAAAGAAAAUUUGACCAGUGAACUUCAAAG